CUCAAAGCUAAGAUUAGGAAACCGCGUGGGAGCGGCGUUCUUUUAGAAUUUAACCACGAAACAAGCAAGUUCGUGCAAGCAAGGAGAGGCAUCCGGAAAUUUUCGAGCAACUGCAGCGUAGUUUUACCCGCUGAGGAACCAUCGUGCUGGUGCAGGACCAGCAGGCAUACAGAAAGAGGGCCACAAGCGGCAAUUUGGCGGUGUACAUACUGCUCAGUCAAGGCAGGGCGCGAUCGUAGAAGCUAGCUAGGUCAGGGGUACCAGCGUGCGAGCUAGACCCCUGGUGGCAGAGAGGCGUAGUGCGAGCAACGCUUGGCCAGAAGAAGAAGAG